CAGUGGUCAAAUGAGGGGCUCAACCCCUUCCCGCCAUUGAAACUGGCGUUCUUGAGUGGAAGAGAAGUAUGCGGAAUGCGUGGUGUAGCGGUGAAAUGCAUAGAUAUCACGCAGAACCCCGAUUGCGAAGGCAGCAUGCCGGCUUCCGACUGACGCUGAAGCACGAAAGCGUGGGGAUCGAACAGGAUUAGAUACCCUGGUAGUCCACGCGGUAAACGAUGAGCGCUAGGUGUCCGGGGGGAAUGGCCCCUGGGUGCCACAGCGAAAGCGUUAAGCGCUCCACCUGGGGAGUACGCCGGCAACGGUGAAACUCAAAGGAAUUGACGGGGGCCCGCACAAGCGGAGGAACAUGUGGUUUAAUUCGAUGAUACGCGAGGAACCUUACCCGGGCUCAAACGUUGCAGGAAGGGUGUCUGAAAGGAUGCCCGUCUACGGACCUGCGACGAGGUGCUGCAUGGUUGUCGUCAGCUCGUGCCGUGAGGUGUCGGCUUAAGUGCCAUUACGAGCGCAACCCCUACCGCCAGUUGCCAACAGGCAAAGCUGGGGACUCUGGCGGGACUGCCGGCGCAAGCUGCGAGGAAGGCGGGGAUGACGUCAAAUCAGCACGGCCCUUACGUCCGGGGCGACACACGUGUUACAAUGGCAGGUACAGCGGGAAGCCACCUGGCGACAGGGAGCGGAACCCGAAAGCCUGUCUCAGUUCGGAUUGGAGUCUGCAACCCGACUCCAUGAAGCUGGAUUCGCUAGUAAUCGCGCAUCAGCCACGGCGCGGUGAAUACGUUCCCGGGCCUUGCACACACCGCCCGUCAAG
rnacentral:rRNA from 1 species